rnacentral:rRNA from 1 species
CGCUAUCACUCCUACGGGAGGCAGCAUGGGGAAUAUUGCACAAUGGGGGAAACCCUGAUGCAGCCAUGCCGCGUGUGUGAAGAAGGCCUUCGGGUUGUAAAGCACUUUCAGUAGGGAGGAAGGUAGUGUAGUUAACACCUGCACUAUUUGACGUUACCUACAGAAGAAGCACCGGCUAACUCCGUGCCAGCAGCCGCGGUAAUACGGAGGGUGCGAGCGUUAAUCGGAAUUACUGGGCGUAAAGCGCAUGCAGGCGGCCUGUUAAGUCAGAUGUGAAAGCCCGGGGCUUAACCUCGGAAUUGCAUUUGAAACUGGCAGGCUAGAGUCUUGUAGAGGGGGGUAGAAUUUCAGGUGUAGCGGUGAAAAUGCGUAGAGAUCUGAAGGAAUACCAGUGGCGAAGGCGGCCCCCUGGACAAAGACUGACGCUCAGAUGCGAAAGCGUGGGGAGCAAACAGGAUUAGAUACCCUGGUAG